rnacentral:rRNA from 1 species
CAGAUAAACUCCGAAUGCCAUGUACUUAUACUCGGGAGUCAGACUGCGAGUGAUAAGAUCCGUAGUCGAAAGGGAAACAGCCCAGACCACCAGUUAAGGUCCCCAAAUAUAUGUUAAGUGGAAAAGGAUGUGGGGUUGCUUAGACAACCAGGAUGUUGGCUUAGAAGCAGCCACCAUUGAAAGAGUGCGUAAUAGCUCACUGGUCGAGUGACCCCGCGCCGAAAAUGUACCGGGGCUAAACAUAUUACCGAAACUGUGGAUGAACCUCUUUAGAGGUUCGUGGUAGGAGAGCGUUCUAAGGGCGGUGAAGUCAGACCGGAAGGACUGGUGGAGCGCUUAGAAGUGAGAAUGCCGGUAUGAGUAGCGAAAGAAGGGUGAGAAUCCCUUCCACCGAAUAUCUAAGGUUUCCUGAGGAAGGCUCGUCCGCUCAGGGUUAGUCGGGACCUAAGCCGAGGCCGAUAGGCGUAGGCGAUGGACAACAGGUAGAGAUUCCUGUACCAGUGCUAAUUGUUUAACCGAUGGGGUGACACAGAAGGAUAGGGAAUCGCACGAAUGGAAAUGUGCGUCCAAGCAGUGAGUGUGAGAAGUAGGCAAAUCCGCUUCUCGCGAAGCAUGAGCUGUGAUGGGGAAGGAAAUUAAGUACGGAAGUUCCUGAUUUCACGCUGUCAAGAAAAGCCUCUAGGAAGAGUAGUACUGCCCGUACCGCAAACCGACACAGGUAGAUGAGGAGAGAAUCCUAAGGUGAGCGAGAGAACUCUCGUUAAGGAACUCGGCAAAAUGACCCCGUAACUUCGGGAGAAGGGGUGCUCUAUUAGGGUGCAAGCCCGAGAGAGCCGCAGUGAAUAGGCCCAGGCGACUGUUUAGCAAAAACACAGGUCUCUGCAAAACCGUAAGGUGACGUAUAGGGGCUGACGCCUGCCCGGUGCUGGAAGGUUAAGAGGAGUGCUUAGCUUCGGCGAAGGUACGAAUUGAAGCCCCAGUAAACGGCGGCCGUAACUAUAACGGUCCUAAGGUAGCGAAAUUCCUUGUCGGGUAAGUUCCGACCCGCACGAAAGGCGCAACGAUCUGGGCACUGUCUCAACGAGAGACUCGGUGAAAUUAUAGUACCUGUGAAGAUGCAGGUUACCCGCGACAGGACGGAAAGACCCCGUGGAGCUUUACUGCAACCUGAUAUGGAAUGUUUGUACCGCUUGUACAGGAUAGGUAGGAGCCGAAGAGACGUGUGCGCUAGCAUACGAGGAGGCAAUGGUGGGAUACUACCCUGGCUGUAUGACCAUUCUAACCCGCCACGCUUAGCGCGUGGGGAGACAGUGUCAGGUGGGCAGUUUGACUGGGGCGGUCGCCUCCUAAAGAGUAACGGAGGCGCCCAAAGGUUCCCUCAGAAUGGAUGGAAAUCAUUCGCAGAGUGUAAAGGCACAAGGGAGCUUGACUGCGAGACUGACAAGUCGAGCAGGGACGAAAGUCGGGCUUAGUGAUCCGGUGGUUCCGCAUGGAAGGGCCAUCGCUCAACGGAUAAAAGCUACCCCGGGGAUAACAGGCUUAUCUCCCCCAAGAGUCCACAUCGACGGGGAGGUUUGGCACCUCGAUGUCGGCUCGUCGCAUCCUGGGGCUGUAGUCGGUCCCAAGGGUUGGGCUGUUCGCCCAUUAAAGCGGCACGCGAGCUGGGUUCAGAACGUCGUGAGACAGUUCGGUCCCUAUCCGUCGCGGGCGCAGGAAAUUUGAGAGGAGCUGUCCUUAGUACGAGAGGACCGGGAUGGACACACCGCUGGUGUACCAGUUGUUCCGCCAGGAGCAUCGCUGGGUAGCUAUGUGUGGCAGGGAUAAACGCUGAAAGCAUCUAAGCGUGAAGCCCCCCUCAAGAUGAGAUUUCCCAUUUCUUCGGAAAGUAAGAUCCCUGAAAGAUGAUCAGGUAGAUAGGUUUGGAGUGGAAGUGUAGCGAUACAUGGAGCGGACAAAUACUAAUCGAUCGAGGACUUAACCAAAA